rnacentral:misc_RNA from 1 species
UGUACUCUCACACUUCCGAUCGUUUGGAUCGGGAGCGGUGGACUUGGGUGUUGCUGCUUACCGUGGCUCACCUCAAAUGCAGUAGUGCACCUUUCGGUUGGACAUAGUACGGCGUGAUAAGUGUCUUCGCCGGCACCUCACUGAGGGUGGCCGAUCGGGAGCUCUGUGCUUCCAAUCGUCUUCGGACAAUCACUGACA